CUUAUAGAAUGUUAAACACUGACUGAGAACUUUUUCAAAGUUCAUUGAUUAUAUAAAAUUCAGUAAAGGUUGACUAUAGUUAUCUCUAUGUCUCAUCCAUGAGUGGGCCUAUGUAAUGACAUACACAUUUUGUAUGUCUCCCUGUAUCUGACACACCCACUUCAGGUCUUGUAGUCUCUAUUAAUGAGCUGAUGAGUUGAAUCAGGUGUAAUAGGUAAGGGAGACAUACAAAACGUGCAGGGCUUGGGGUGGGGGGAGGGGUACUCCAGGACAGGUUUGAGAACCACUGAUCUAAUGUCUAGACUCUAUUUAACCACAUCUUCGAUUGUGUGAGUGUGUGUGGUGACGUCAUUAGACGUGCUUGCUGCGUUUGGAAUAAGCUCCGCCCACUUGGCCAUUUCCCCCGCACAGGUGAAUGGACGCUAUUUAAUGAAUGAGCACAAGUAACUUUUCAAGCGCUAGUUGCCACUUCUUUGUCUAGAAUAUAUUUUGUAAAGAGGAAAGCAACAACAUGGUUUCAAAACUGGAGGACGCAAUGGAAGGCCUGAUUAAAGUGUUCCACACAUACUCCUCCAAAGAAGGAGACAAGUACAAGCUAAGCAAAGCUGAGCUCAAAAGCUUGCUUCAGGGAGAACUUAGUGACUUUUUAGCUGCGAGUAAAGACCCCAUGGUUGUGGAGAAGAUCAUGUCUGAUUUGGAUGAGAACCGGGAUGGAGAAGUGGACUUUCAGGAGUUUGUUGUGCUGGUGGCUGCUCUCACAGUGGCGUGUAAUGAAAUCUUUGUAAAGAGCAUGAAGAAUUAAUUGUCUUCCAUGUCUCUCUUCAGCUGUGUCAGAACAUUUUGUAAAUGUUAUUUAUCAGAAAUAAAGACUCAAUGACAUGCA
ensembl:lncRNA